UGCGUAGGCGGCGUUAUAAGUCAGAUGUGAAAGCCCACCGCUUAACGGUGGAACUGCAUUUGAUACUGUAGUGCUUGAAUCAGGUUGAGGUCAGCGGAAUGUGUCAUGUAGCGGUGAAAUGCAUAGAUAUGACAUAGAACACCAAUUGCGAAGGCAGCUGGCUAGACCUGUAUUGACGCUGAGGCACGAAAGCGUGGGGAGCGAACAGGAUUAGAUACCCCUGGUAGUC
rnacentral:rRNA from 1 species